GCUAAAUCUCGCAAAGUAUAAUGAUAAAAAAAAUUGUGAGACUGUACUAGUACUUAUGUUCAAGGCCGAGUGCAGGAUCAAAUCAUCAUCAUGUUGAAAUUUGUUACAACGAUCAUGACAUAUCUCUAAAAUUGGCGCAUCCGCUAAAUCUUGCACGUGGCGCAUCUCGGUGCGGAGCAACAAGCCGGUGCUAUCAAGGUUGAGGCGUCGGUAGCGUCAUCGGGCUCUCCUCUUUUGAUAGAUCUUCUACAUGGCGUGGCGCACCGCCCACCGAGAAGCAGUCACAUGUGAGAUCGAGGUGGAGACGUCGCCGGCAUCCUCGAGGCGCGACCGCCCUUCUACGAGCCAGAGUCGACUCAAGUGGUGCGCGCAAGGAAAUUUAUUUCUGGGUGUGCUGAGCUGUUAGGCCUAAGUCGAAAUCCUCAGCUAAACAAGGCCUCAGCUUAACACAUAAAAAGGUGUUCAAUCUCGCCCACAAUGUCCUCUUCUUUCCUCUUCCUUUAUUGGAACUUGUUUUGCAGACAAGGAAAGUGGCACGUGUAAUGUGAGUAAAACCCUCUUAGCCAAAAUCAGCUACGAGCAAGAUUUUAUGUAUUGUAGAUUCCCCAAUUGACUCUCAUCCCCAAUGUAGUCUUUUUUAUGUCAGUAUAGACUUCUUUACUGGAUGUAUACUAUCGUACAUGGCAUGCAUUUGCCUAAUGAGGAGCAUUGUAUUGCCAUUCUA